GGAAGGGUACAGCUCAGUGGUAGAGCACUAUGCUUAGCAUGCACAAGGUCCUGGGUUCAAUCCCUGGUACAUCCA
rnacentral:tRNA from 1 species